UACAGAGGUCUCAAGCGUUGUUCGGAUUCAUUGGGCGUAAAGGGUGCGUAGGCGGCGUGGUAAGUCGGGUGUGAAAUCUCGGAGCUUAACUCCGAAACUGCAUUCGAUACUACCGUGCUUGAGGACUGGAGAGGAGACUGGAAUUUACGGUGUAGCGGUGAAAUGCGUAGAUAUCGUAAGGAAGACCAGUGGCGAAGGCGGGUCUCUGGACAGUUCCUGACGCUGAGGCACGAAGGCCAGGGGAGCAAACGGG
rnacentral:rRNA from 1 species